CCAAAUUUCAGACCUGGACAACGUGCUCCCCUGCCCCUCAGAAGUCCAGGUGUGUUUGUCUUCCAUCAGACUGAGACCCUUGCGACCUGCUUGAUGUGUCAGCCUAACCAGACCACAGCAGGGCACUUCUCCAGCCCAGUGGAUCAACCAGGAUCAUUUACUUUGGUGAAUAGAUGGUGAAAAAAAAAUCUGUCUGCAUAACAAUGAGUUCACAGAAAUCUACAAUUCCACUGAAAAUGCACUGGUUUAGGUGAAGUUGAUGACAAGUGGCCAUAACCAAAGACACAUGAACUUCCUAAACAAGAUUUACAGGUGGACUUGCUUAGCCAACAUAAGCCUAUAUGAAGUUGGAAGAAUGAGACCCAAAGAAGAAACACUCAUAGAAGAGGUGCUGGAAUCUGUUUAAUAAGGAAAUGAGUCCUGCCAAGGAAAGAGAGUUCUUCCCCGAGGUCAUUGCUUCAUUUUCUGAAAUUUCUUUCUGGUAAUCCUUGUCUCAGUACUAUGCAUCAGAGGGAUAUGACGAAUCUCAACCUUUGCCCGACUUCCAGAAAAAGGCUAAUGUCUUCUUUUGAAGUAAUGAAUGUUCAGACUGUGCUUAAAAUUUAACAGAGUAACCAUGCUUUCAUGCUGUUUCAUUAACCUUGAACAAUGGGGAAAAAAAAUUCAGAGAAAUUGACAUUUCAUUAACAGGUGUGGUGAUCUCUAGGAGGAAAAAUGAAAGAACCAAACAUUUCCAGUUCUGUAAAUCAGCCAGAUAGCAGCAGAUGGAACCAUGUCCUACCUCUGAUAAAACUAUUAUCACCAUCAUCAGGGCAUUUCAGGACAGUUGCAUGUUGAAUAUUAUUUUUCUGGAAUAACUGAUGAAGUGUUUACAAGGAAAAAUUAGAGGCACCUUGUGCUGCUGUGUUUUCCCCAUGCACUUAUACAGAUCCAGUAGCGUACAUUUGGCAAGCACUUGUCCAUGAGUGAUACUAUGGGAAAUUCUGAUCUCAUCUCUUGGUGGGAGGCUCAACAGAUGCCCAAGAUAAAAGCUAGGAUAAUGAUAGUACGCUUCAUUAAUGGCAUUCUCUGUGUAUCCUACUGAAAUAAUAGACAGUCAGAAGAGAGUUGACACAGUUCCUUUGAAAGUAUCAAUCUCAGACACCAAGUUCCAUAACUAAAUAACUUUUCCUGCUAAUCAAUUAAUCUGCAACAUUAUUAUGGGGAGGAUAAAGAAUAACUUAAAAUGAAACCUUCUUCUUCUUUAAAGGAGAUGAACAGGUCUGUAACUGUGCGUGGUCAAGGAGAAACCAAAAAAUUUUGAGUUCUGAAAUUCCCCUUUGGGAAUUUGGCUUUCUUUUUCUUCCUCCUCUUUGCUGCAAUGACUGUGGUUAGUGCAGUCCAUACAGCGGAUAGCUGUUGCCAUCUUGGUCAGCAUUUAAAGCCUGAUCUCAAGAAACAAGCAGUAUAUAGACCCCUCCCCUAACCUCCAUGUAUUGCUCUAUUUGCUCUCUGGUCUUUUCUUAUGUCAGAGUUGUCCAUAGAUUCCUGAUAAACGCCAGAAAUCACACUACCUUUCAGUGAAAUUCUACAGUUCUCUUCCACAGUGAAGCACUCUCAAAUUAAUUAGAAUUCGAUAACAAUGGAAGAACUUUACACCCAUAGUGGAAGUAAAGUAGUGUUCGAGUCAAAGAGUACUGUCCUCCUCUUCAAAUGAAUUCCCAGAAAUUCUACAUAAAAUUCCUAAAUACACUAUUUACUACAUACUUUUCCUUGCUGUGUACAGAGCUGGUUUCACUACUUAAUAUCUUCAAUAAUUAAAAUCCUAAGGACCAUUUAUUCAUUCCAUAUUUCCAUAUCCACAAUCUGCAUCUUACAGAAUCUUCUACUCCUUUAAGGUCUUCUUUGCUUUCUUUAUGAAAAUAAGUUCUCAGAUAACGCACGGAUAUCUGCCCUUCUCCCUUUCUGGAGGCAGCUGUAGACCAGAGAAAUUCCCCAUUUUUUGGCUAAGACACCCUGCAUCUAUAUGUGGGGAAAGUCAUAUGCAAAUGCAUAUGGGUAUCCUGAAGGAUAAGAAGCAGAAAAAUAAGGUGAUUAAAUACCUCCAGAAGCUCUUGAAGGAAGGGAACUCUGACCUAAACUACUUUUUUUCAGUAAGAACAACAAUGCUGCAGAGAUGGAAGCUGUAGGGAAAAAGCAGAAGACGAUGAUUUUUUUUUUACAGAUGAAGGUAAAGAUGUAAGCAUGAAAAUAUGGUGAACAGCAACAUGUAGUGGGAAUGCUUGAUUGAUAGACUGUUCUUAUAAUUAGUAUUUGUAAUCAUACAUAACGUCAAUAUAGCAAUAACUACCUAACGAAAAAACAGUCUACACAUGCAAAGGCCACUAUUCUUUAUGUGUAAAACUCGAUGAUCUUUCAUUUAUUCUUUUGCCUACUUUUCCAGAAUAUCUUCAAUUUUUAAAUCUCAUGUUCAAGUGGUCAAACAGUAUUCCAAACAACAAAACAAAAUAUUGGAUGCACAAGGAAAUAUAUUUUGGACUGCACAGCCAGAGUCGGACACCCUAAUUAGAAAUAUCUGGCUUGUCUAUUAUACAAGAUACUCCCCAAAGUUUGAAAAAAAUAAUAAUAAAAGAAAGAAUACAACAAAGGCUAUGGUAAUACAAACAAAGUUACGGAGUAUUACUUUUAUUUUUUCUUUAAAAAAGUAUAAAUUUAUUAUAUAAUCAAAAAUAAUUGAAAUGUGGUGCAAGAUAUUUGAAAAAAAAAUAUAUUUUGCAGAAAAUCUGGACCUACUUAUAGCUAUUAGGCUGAGAGUUACCUCUCUCCAGAGAUCCCUCACAGAAUGUCUUAAAUGGUUGUUUAAAAGUGUACAAGUUUCAUAUUGGCAUUCGGCACAGGUGCAAAUUUCAUCAACUUUUAGGUGUAAAUCUCAUUUGAGAGAAUAUUCAUUUCUCCCACUUUUUGUCAGGGUUUUCCUUUCUUGUUUAUAAAGGAGGGAUUUUUAUUUUCUUACUUUCUUUUUUUCGGGGGGACAAAAUCCAUACCGAAAAAGUACUAAACAAGUAGAGAGGAAAAUUUUUUCAGAACUGAGCACUGCUUUAGUUUCCAUUAUCCACAUUUUACAAGCAUAAUACUGUACAGAAAAUGCAGAAUACUGAGAAAUUGUAGGAAAAAUUACAUCUUGAAGUGUUACAGCUUGGAAACAACCACAGUGCUCCAGCUGUUACUAAAAGAAAUGUGGCAUAGUCAUGGGACUCCCUUACUGCACAGUUUGUGAUUCUUCUAAAUUUUUUUAUGUCCUAAAUUCAUGCUUUUUUCCAUACUGUUUUUGUGGUUUCUGAUGCUGCCAUUACCUCUGUACCAGAAACAAGGAAAAAAACCAUGUCUAUCUCUCUUAACUCUGGAGACAUUUGUUAUUUUCUCCACAGAGGGGGUAUUUGUUAACGCUGUCAGCAAUCCUAACUGUCAGAAUUAGCUAAUUGUCUGAUCUGUGCACAAUAGAAGUAAAUAGGGAUCAUUCGAUGAGUAGGUGGGAAAAUAUGUUGCCCUGUCACUAACCAGACAAGCAGUCCCACUAAAUGCACACUGAAAAUAAACAUCUAAUAGUGGAUUAGAUAAGUAUAUAAAUGUCAAUGUACCUUUUGUCAGCCACGAACUCCUACUUACCUGUAGGCUAAUCACAGGGCAUUUGCUUAUGCUGAUGACUAUUCCAUUACAUAUUUCUUCCACCAUACAAACUGGAAAGGAGUUCUACCCAGAAAGGUAAUUAAAUUAUACGUUCUGCCAGCCUAAGUAUACAGUAAUUUAAUUCACUACCCUAAGGUGCCCUCUAUGAAUAUAUUAUACUUAGUUUAUUAGCUUUAAUUCUCAGAAGGAGGGGUCUUAGUAUACCAUACAAAUAAAAGUACCUAGGCUGAUACUCAAACAUGCAGCUGUGCGUAAUAUUCAUAGUCUAGCUUUGGAAAUGCAUGCUGAUACCUUAUGAAAAAUUCUAUAAGAAUUAAUCCACCACCAUUUUAGUCAUCCAGGAAAAGCAUAGAAAUUUGAACGUGGAUAACCAAAUGUUUAUUUAUCUUGAUUGUAAAAUAAAAUUUGUAUUAACCAAUACAUAUCUUACAGUUCAGAAAGGUUCAAGCUGAUAGAGUGCUGCUCAGAGCUCCUACUAUUUUAACUUAGAGAGCAUAUGAAUAAACGGUGGAAACUGAUCAUUCAGAUGCUUUAAUUACCUGCCAAAUAAAGUCUAUAAAACAAAUCAGUGAUGUAAAAAAUCAAUUCAUAAUAAGCAAAGACCAUAUAAGGUAUCUCUCUUAGGUAACUUCUAUUUAAUUUUCAUGAUUUUCUAAUUUUCUGUUAUUUGUAAAACAAAAGCGCAUUUAAACACUCUCAAGGUUUUUUCCUAACUUUUUUGCUUGUUUGAUACAUCAUUCCCUCUUUAGGCUAAGUGCACACCCAUCUAACUCUCUGUUCUCAUAUACAAAUUCAUGGUCUAUAUAGUCACAUUACUUUUCAAGGUGGUCAGCUAUAUUCUAAAGAAAGUCAGUUAAGCGAAUUAGCCAUAAACAUGAUGCAACUAACCUCAUUUAUACAGAUAUCCCCUAGUCCAAUUUACACCUUCUUAAAGUCCAUGACUCAAAAUAUCAAUAUGUGACAGAAUUCCAUUAACUUAAAUAACACUGAAAUAAGGUUUGUUACUUAAGUAUAGUUUACAAAUACAGAGGAAUUGUUAUUUUGCUACCUAAAUAACCGUUUUCCCUUCAGUGUUGCUGAAAUUAUCCCUUCGGUGCUGCAUUCAGUAUCUUAAUAUUGUAAGUAAGGCCAAGAAAUACGAAAGUCUGAAGUGAAAUUAAUUCAUUCCUCUUCUUCUACCCCUAUAGCCACUGGCACUCCUUUGCAUUGCCGAGUCAAUAGCUUUAAUGGGUGCCAAUUGGACUUAGAUACUCUAGCAAAGAUUUGACAUAAAAUGCAGGGUUCACUUCACAAAGAUCAUUAAAACAGUCAUAAAACAGAACAGAAUCCACUUUUAAGGACUUAUCUAGUUCAGAAGAUCUUUUUCCUUUGGUCUAGCCCCACUGAUUUGUAAUUCAACUAAAGAAGGGAAUGGAAACCUGGAACUUCCAGAUUUUCCAGUUGCAAAACAGAAGCUACUUGGAUUUCUUGUUAACUGCUGUGUUGUACGGUCAGCCACCAACAGUCUCCAUAAAAAAAGUCAUAAAUAGUAUCCAUUAAUGAAUUAAGAGAAAGAAAGUAUUGGUUUUUAACUAGGAAAGGUGUCAUAGAUUUUAGAAGGCUUAAAGGUAAGAACAACUUUUUUUAAGCUUGAAAGAGUUAAUGAGACUUACUAGCCCAUCAUUGAAAAAAAUAUUCUUGUCAAGGAAAUAAGAGGUGGAGUGCUCAUGCUAUUAAGUAUCACCCAGUGAUUACACCUCAGGAAGUAUUAUAUCAACGGGUUUUGGGCCAUCCCACUUCCGACUGGUGCUUCCUCUGCAGCCUCCCAUCCUUUCCCUGCUGUUUUAUGUGGAACUCACCAGCUCUGGCACUUUCCUUAUUUAAUUUGCCCUAAGGGCACCAACAGUGAUUGAAGUAAACAGCUUGCUCUUAUUUCCAAUGGGCACACAUGCCGAAGAAAAGGCUUGAAUCUUGGCUUCCUUCAUGGUGACUGCUCUGUGCCAGACUACAAGUACAAAGACACUUCAAAGAAUGUUUUGGUAGUGCCUGAAAUUCCCCUCAUUUUGAAAGAGUCUCUUUCUACUAAAACCCUGGUACCACGGACAAACAAGCCUCUCUCCAUAGCCUGUAUUUACAUUUCACAAGCUGUUUUUAAGGUACAGGUAAGUGAAAAGAAUGUAUCUAGAGUGUUGUCCUACAGACUCAGUUAUUAAAAUGGCCUAAAGAAGGGAAUGCUCUUGCAGCUGGAUGUAAAUUGAAACAUGUCCGAGCUUAUACCAAAGUAUGCUGAGGUAGAGUAUGCCAGGAUGCCAAAGGUAGUGAACAUUCAGUUUUGUCCUCCCAUCUCACAUUUUGUAUCAUGUAGCACUUGGCUUGAUCUACCUAAACACUUCUGUCCUUGCAGAUGGUUUCAGCCUUACACUUCUCAGAUAAGUUCCCACAAACAGCAAACUGAUUUUAAAAUAAUUUUUGGUUUUGUACCAGUACUGACACCCCUUUCUUCCCUUAUGAUAUGGCAUAAACACCAUCUACAAAUAUAUAUAUCAGUACAGAGAAUUUAUGUAUUCGUUUUUUUAUUUUGGUCAUUUUUUUCUAGAAGUGCUCUUUAGGAUGAAAAUGUAGUUUUCAGAAAAAUAGCCUGUUUGUUGUGGUAUGCACUUAAACAUGGCAGCAGAUAAGUUUGUGUUUUUUCUAUAGUAUUUCCUGUAGUUGCUCUCGGGCUUCUUGUUGCUUGGGCUACAUUCACUAAAACAUUGCAUUGUGAAUAUACAAUAAUUUCUGAAUAUAAUGGAAAUCUAAUGCAAUAAUAAAGUCAUUAAUUCCACGCUGAAUUCACAGAUUGUUCCCCUAUACACUCCAUAUUUUGA